AUGCUCCAUGGUCCAGAUGGUGAAACCACUUGAAUUAAUAUUUUCGAUUAGGCUUAAAUUUUUUUUUAGUUCGUUACUGUAAUUGUUCGAUGUUUGAUCUAUGUCCAGCAGCAUUCGUUUUCCAAACGUUUGUCGUGAAAAUGUGUUCGUAAGGUGUGCUUUAAGUUUGCGUUUUCAAAGACAAAUUUGGCCUGAUGACUCUUCACUUUAUUGUGAGAUGACGAAAUCGAAGGAAUCAAUCAUUGGUUUCAACAUCACUGCUACCUCGGAUGUGUAACUGUUGGAUCAACGGAAUACCGCUGCUCCAGUCUGUUUAACCUGCAAAUUACCAGGCGAACAGCAUGUUUCGGUUUCAACAUGACUCCUGAAUCACGCGCGUCCGAGAUUGCUGUGCCAGGUACGGAAAACCUCACCGAACUAGCGGCUUGGCGAAAAUUACUUUCAAUUCCAUCAUUGCAUAUUUAUGGCCUGAAUUGUUUUGAAUAUAAAUCAACAAUCUCUGCUCCAUGUAACCAGAACAAAAGCAAUUGCUUACCUAUGCAGUUCCG